AGCGCGGCGCGGGUCGCUGCCGCUGCCGUCACCGUUCCCUGCCUCGGGCACGCGGGUGGCUGGAGCGGGGACGCGGCCGGGUGCGGUGGGGAGAGGCAGCGGGCAGCCCCUCGCUGUUCCGGGGUGAGGGAGCUGGUGAACGAAGCGGUUCUUCCGAGACCUGGCGGGCUGUCCAAGGAAACAGCCAGACAUGUUUAAUCACACACUGAAAAGAUGGAGGAGUGUGACCUUUGAUUUCUCCAGUGUCAUUCAGAGGGAAUGGCUGAGGUUUUUCUUUGCACUUAGCAACAGGAGAAAAACAAGAUGAACGGUUAUGGAGUUUAAUCAUAUGAAUUUGAGAGAAUGGUCUCAUCCUUUUCUCUCUCAUUUGCUACAAUUAAUUGUUAUUUUUAUAUAUCAUAGUCACACCUUGGAGCCUUUGUCGUGGAUCUUAUUGCAAAUUUGGUAUGAACAUGCAAUACCUAACGAGUGAAUUAUCUUCUGUGAAAGGCAGUUAUUUUUCUUCCCUCAGGAAGGGAGGAAAGCUUCACAGCCUGGUUUCAGUGUAUGUCCAAGCUGCUUCAUGUCUCGUGUCCCCUUUGGACAAGAGGGCUUUUUGUAAUGAGGGGCACAAACACAGCCUCAGCAGUAACAAGUGCAAGGUUGGAACCAUGGGGGAGACUGGUGUUAGUAGAAGGACCUUGGGAUCAAAGCAGCAAACACCCCUGCUUAGCACUCAAGUGCUCGUGCAAGUGGACUGGCUUGGGGAGUGCAGUGGGGAAGAAGUGCUUAAAUACUUUUGAGGAGCCACACAUACCGAUUGGGACUAUGGAAGUUACCCACUUUCCAUCAGAACCCUGCAAACGUUUUCAGAGCAGAUGUGGUCUCACUUCAUCAGUGGCUGUGGAGGUCUCUGAGAAACUCUGGUAGAGGGCCCAGAGCCAGGAGAGCACAAUGACUUCAAGGGCAACAUUGCUGCUGCUGCUGCUUUUGACAGUGCUGUUAGUACUGCAGGAGACUGGACAGGUUCUUCUUUAUUCACCUCUUCCACGAGAACAACAACUCAAAGUGGUGUUCCCUUGAAAAUGUCUUUGUUGAUAAUUUUCACUUCAUCCCGUGCUGAUGCUAUUACAAAGAUGGUAUAUGAGAAGACAGCAUACUGUGAGGACAGUGCUCUAGUACCUGAGCAGUGACCAAACCUUAGCUUGGAGAGGAGGGAAGGAGCAAUUUGCCACCUUUCCAGCAAUCUGCUUUGGAAUUGCAAAAUAUGAUAUUAGGGAUGAUGGGAAUACAGAAAGAACCUGCAGUUCAGUUCAGAGUAAAAGGUCAAUGCAGGAGAACAGAAGGCUGCUGUCUCUCCUUCUGGCAAGCACAUUAUUAUAGAUAGGACAGAGAGAGGGACUUUGCCAUACAGUGAAAUGGGGCAAAGGAGAAAGGUAACAGAGUUCUUAACUACCCAUAACUAGGGAGUAAAAAAACUUUCCCUUCAAAGUCAAAUGAAGUAAAAGCCAUACUUGAGGAGAUGAAAAACGUUAGAGGCUGUGCACCACCAAGAGGGGAUGUGUACCCCAAGACCAGGGAUCGAUACCUGGCCUUCCAUCAGAGAAACAGUGUGAUGCUGCAGGCAGGACUGAGAACCCUUGUCUUUCCCAUUCACCCUGCUCACAGUGUGUGAUGCU